UGCAUCCCCGAGUCAGAACCGUCCAGUGCAUACAGUGUGACUACAGUGAUGGUUGGCUGCACUAAGUACAUAAAAAAUUCUGGUAUUUAUCUGACUAUAUCAAAGGCUUUAUUUUUUUCCUCAGAGGUAACACAGCCAACAUAACCAUGCAGCGGCACCAACUGCUCUUGGAGAAGAACAGCGGAAUAAAGAUUGGCGUAAACUUCUAACAGAAGCUCUGUUUGCCCUGUGCCCAGAAAAUAAACAUAUAGAAUAAGGGUUACUUAUCUGAUAGACACGGAGAAUUGUGACUAGUCCUAACUAGUCGAAGGGCUAAGGGUUCUACCUUACUUUCGUGAAGCAUAGCACAUAGUGUUUUAGUGAGUCAGCAGAGUAGUGACAUGAGUUUUACUUUAUUAUCCUCUGCUUGUAAGGUAGGCUGGCUUAAAGAUACUUUAAGCUUAAUUCUGUUAGAACUGUUUUGUUAAUCUUGUGAAUGUUGAGAUUUGUUGGGACUUUGAUUUAAGGAGUAGAUUCAGGUGUGGUUUCAGACUAGUUGAGGUGUGAAUUACAGAGGUGUGGCUAACGGCCUGCAUUUGUUGAUGAAAUAAGUGGCUAUCGGAGCUGUUUGUGCAAGGACUUAGAUUCUUUGAUCAGCAAAUUCUAGUCUCUUUAAUUCAAGUUAAACCGUACAACUCAACUUUGACCAUGUGCUUCCAAAUUCCUACUCAUCUCCUGCAACAUCCAUAGACACCGGCAUCAGGGCAGAAACCACAAUCUCAGCCACCUAAUUUGCCAAGUUCUCAGGUGUCCCUACAUGGGGGACCUUGGAAUUGCCAAUCUGAAGUACUGACGGCCGACUUCAUCACAGCUCUUGCCUCUGCUCAAUCUCUGAACUUCCUGGCUCUGACUGAGACUUGGAUCACUCCAGAGAACUCUGCAACUCCAGCUGUCCUGUUAUCUGCUUUUGCCUUCUCCCACUCUCCAUGGCCGUCUGGUCUGCUUCUCUCUCCUUUUGACACGGUCAACCACAAGAUCCUCCUGUCCAUCCUCACCAGUCUUGGAAUCACUGGCUCUGUAUGGCAGUGGUUUGCAUCAUACCUGGAGGACCGCUCCUACCAGAUUUCAUCCCGCAUAUCAGCAUGUCUCACUGAUGUCUCAUCAUGGAUGAGUUCUCAUCACCUGAAUUUCAACCCCAGCAAGACCCUCCUUUUGUUCAUUCCAGGAACUACAGGUCUCUCCAUCUCUUUUGAGAACUCACUGGUCACUCCAUCAGCUGAAGCACGAAGCCUUGGUGUAGUAAUGGCUGACCAGUUAUCAUUAGCCAUGUUGCAAAUCUGACUUGGUCAUGCAGAUUUCUCCUGUACAACAUCCGAAUAAUUCAACCGUUUCUGUCUCAGGAAGUUACUCAGGUGCUUGUGCGGUCUCUUGUCAUCUCAAGGCUUGACUACUCAACUCUCUACUGGCUGGUCUUCCACCGCAAGCCACCAAACCUCUGCAACUAGUUCAGAAUGUGGCACCACGACUCGUCUUCAAUCUUCCAAAGUUCAGUCAUGUGACUCCUUUGCUGCGUUCCCUCCACUGGCUUCCUGUUGCCGCCUGCAUCAAAUUCAAAACCCUGACGUUCAUUCAUACUGGCCAGAUCUGUACCACAAGCCUUUAGAGCUUCCAGUAUGACUCAGCUCCAACCACCAUCCCUCAAGACCAAAAGAAAACAUGCAUCCUGACUCUACUCUGUGCUAGGACCAAGGUGGUGGAACAAACUUACACUGAGUGUCAGAACAGCAGAGUCUCUCUUGGUCUUCAACGCUGACUGAAGACUCAUCUUUUCAAAGAGUUCUUAAACUAAUAUUACAAAAAUAAUUAUUCUAGGCUUCUAAACAUUAUCAAGCUUUGUAUCUCUUUAUCGUAGUCUCUACAAAUUAGCUACGGAUAUAUUAAAGUAAACAGCGAAGCAUUGUUGUAAGUCGCUCUGGAUAAGGGCAUCUGCUAAAUACCUUAAAUGUAAAUCUAGUGUAACAUACUGCUAACAAUCCAGACAGAGGCUUAAAUGACCGCCUGCAAGCUGCAAUGAGAUAUUACAUAGAUACCAGUGUAUUCAGACUGUGUCACUCGAACCAAAAACUCAACUUAAAUAAUUAACUUAUAUUAAACAAUCGUAUCCAGACUGUAGCACUAGUACUUCAGACCUAAAUAUUGGUUUACUUAACAUAAGAUAUAUCAAAACUCAAAAGCAGUUAUAGCGAAUUAAAUCAUAACUGAUCAGAAAUUCAAUGUUCUGUACCAGAUGUAAAAACCUGGAUUAGGCCAAAUUAAUAUUUUGCAUUAAACAGAGCCACCCCUGCAGGCUAUAAUUAUAUAUACAACCCAAGAUUGUCCGGUAGAGGUCUGUAAACUUUUUCAUAAUACCUUAGUUAGCAAUUAGGAACACUAUGAUCAUUUCAAUUCUUUUGAGCUCCUUUACACCAAAAUAAUGAGGGGGAUUAGAAAUAAAAUUCUAUAUAAAUAAAAUAAAAUAAACAUAAAGAGAGAAAGAAAAAUCUCGCCUGUGGUGCAAUGAUUGAAUUUCAUACUAAUUGCUUUAAAGAAUUUGGAGUGUAAAUAUCAAUCAACUAAACUGGAAGUGUUGCACGUGUUGUAUGGAAAGGCAGUCUUGUUGAAUAAAGAAAAGAACUUAAUAAAGCCCGUUCAGCAUAUCUGGCCUCACAGAUCGAGAUAAAUACAAAUAAUCCUAGAGCUCUCUUUAGUGUUAUUACCAAAUGAACUAAAAAACAGGCAGGUAGUGAACCUCAAAUUCCAGCCAUUCACACCAGCAACGAUUUUGCAGACUUCUUUGACAAAAUUUAAAACAUUUAAGAAAAAAUUAAUUUGAUAAAUAGCCCAUCCUGUUUGUCAUCUGGUGCGGCUGAUGUAGAACAAAACUCAGUUACCGAAGUUAAGUUGGAAGUCUUUAACCCACUUCCACAGCUACAACUAGAAAAUUUAACUCCAUCAAACAGCACAACAUGCAUACUUGAUACAUUUUACACAAACUUACUAAAACAGGUACUACCAGAUAUAAUUAAACUGCUGUUAAUGAUAGUAAACUCAUCGCUCACCCUGGGGCAUGUACCCAAAACCAUUAAAAUAACACUAAUAAACCUUCAAGAAAACAAAACUUUUAUCCUAGUGUACGGUCUAACUACAGACCUAUUUCAAAGCUUCCCUGUUUCUAAGAUUUUAGAAAAAGCUGUGGCCCAACAACUUUGCUCUUACCUGCAAAGAAACCAGAUCUAUGGAAAAAGUCCAAUCUGGAUUUAGUUCUCAUCAUAGCACUGAGACAGCUUUAGUUAAGAUAACCAAUGAUCUACUUAUUGCUGCCGACCAAGGCUGGAUUUCCCUACUGGUACUUCUUGAUCUGAGUGCAGCCUUUAAUACAAUAGAUCAUACUAUACUUUUAGAAAGAUCAUGAUUCAAAAUAUACUUAACUGAUCGUUAUCAGUUUGUGAGGAUAAAUGAUAUACCUUCCAGUUAUACUAAGGUAAGAUAUGGAAUUCCACAAAGCUCUAUAUUAGUACUGUUAUUUACAUUUAUAUAUGCUCCCACUUCAUAUUAGCAAAAUCUAAUAAAUCUGAGAAUAAAGAUAAUAGAGGAAUGCAUAAAACAUGUGAAAUUAUGCAUGUCGAACAACUUUUUCCUAUUAAAUAGCGAUAAAACAGAAGUUCUCCUAUUAGGCCCAAAAGCUGCUAGAAACAAAUCAGAGUUAAGUCUGGCCGACCUCUCCGUCACAACUGGUACAGCAGCUACAAAUCUUGGCGUUAUCAUAAAUUCAGAUCUAGCAUUGGAUAAACACAUAUCUAAUGUUACUAGAACAGCUUUUCCACACCUUCGUAACAUUGCCUGGCUAGAAAAUGCCUUAUCACUUCAUGAAGCAGAAUAAUAAGAGUAAAGGCCUUUAUUACAGUAUAGCUAGUCUAUUGUAAUGCGCUACUGUCAGGAUGUUCCUGCAGUAACUUAAAUAAACUUCAGCUAGUUAAAAAUGCUGCAGUCAGGGUCCUUACUAAAACUAGAACAUUUGACCAUAUUGCAGUUCUAUCAGCACUAUCUUCCAGUCAAAUUCUGCACUGAGUGUAAAAUUUUACUGUUGAUGUAUAAAACUCUCCUAUUAUGAACACCCACGAUUGCGAAAUAAAUUUUUGAUAACUCCAACUGGUGCAGUUAACACACUCAGCAGAAGAGAGCAGAAUUGUGAUGCUUUGAAGAAAAUAAGUGAUAAUGCAUUUAAGAAUCACAAAGGUGAAGGUUUUCAUUGACUGAGCCGUACCCAGCUGUGAUUAUGCCUCAGACAUCUAACGAAUACAUUAAUUAUGUAAUUAAGGACUAAGGGCGCGCUUUAGGACACUGUCACCCACUUAACGGAACACUUCAUCUAGAAGUACAGGAGGCCACGCUCCUCUAUCCAGAAUUGGUUUAUAGUUGAUUAUUUCAAGUCUGCGAGUUGAGAAGGAUUUCGAUGACCAACGUGUAUACGACUAGUUGUUUUAACGGCAGUUUAAAUGCUUGACACAGACAACAGAGCUGCAGGUCAGUCCUCAGUGCUCAUUCUGCUGGACCUCUUGGCCGCCUCUCCUCCUAACUAUCCUCUCAAACAUGGGAAUCUCAGACAAUGUGCUGUCAUGGUUCAGAUAAUACCUAACUGGGUGCUCAUUCAAGGCGUCAUUACUAGGAUAUCUGUCCUCAGCCCACUCCUUAUCCACUGGGGUUCCCCAGGGCUCUGUACUGGGACCCCUUCUCUUUUCCAUCUAUGCCACCUCUUUAGGUCAGGUUAUCCGCUCACAUGGCUUUUCCGACCAUUGCUUUGGUGAUGACACCCAGCUCUAUCUGUAAUUUUCACCUGAAGAGCCUUCGACCUCUGCACGGAUAUCACAGUGCCUCUUAGACAUAUUCUCUUGGAUGAAGGGGCAUCACCCCCAGCUAAACCUUUCCAAGACUGAACUUCUGGUUAUACCAGCAAAACCAUCUAUCCAACCCAACUUCAACCAUAACACCCAGGUUCUUAGCAACCUUUGUCAGGGAGUGUGCGAGUGAGUCAAUGGUUAUGGUGAUGACCAGCUCUCCUUCACACACCAUGUGGCAUCAAUUCUUUGAUCCUGCCACUUUGCGCUGUAUAACAUCAGAAAAAUUGUAUCAUUUUUAACGCAACAGGCCACCAAACUUCUGGUACAAGCAGUGAUCAUCUUGUGCCUCGACUACUGCAAUGCCAUACUAACGGGCCUCCCAGCCUGUGUAGUAAAACCACCCCAGAUGAUCCAGAAUGCUGCAAUGUGCCUGGUCUUCAACCAGCCAAAACAGGCACAUAUCACUGCUCAUUGAGCUCCAUUGGCUACCAGUUGCCACUCGAAUUAAAUUCAAAGCUCUUGCAGUCGCUCACAAGGUGAUAAAAGAACAGGCCUUCUGGCCAGCCUUCCUAACUGCACUCACUCCUAAAUGCUUACAUUACCUCCCAGCCACUGAUCUCCUCCAGCAAAUGUCGCCUAGCUUUGUAAUACAUUUACACAAAGCAAUCCAGACUGUUCUCAUACAGUUCCCCAAUGGUGGAACAAACUACCUUCCACUACCAGAUCAGGAGAAUCUCUCACUAUCUUUAAUAAACUCCUGAAGACUCUUCGAAGAGCACUUACUCUCAUAACACCUUUAACAAAUUACAGUAACUACUUGUAACCUCAUUUCCUCCUUCCCCUCCUUUCCUCCUCUAUCCCAAUAUUUUCCUUUGGCCUCCUUUUAGGUCCUGUCUAAAAAUUGUUUUGUUUUGUUUUGUUUUGAACUUCUAUGUAUAUGAUUAUUGUAAGUCGCUUUGGACAAAAGCGUCUGCCAAAUGUAAUGUAAUGGUGUCCUUCUAAUGGCCGAUUUUCUUUUUUCUUUUUUUUUCUUUUGCCUUUCUUAUUCACCAAACCAGGAGUCCCAAAACUCCUGGCUUUUAUUCAUUUAUUUCUUACUGACUUGUGAUCUAAAGUUUAUUCAUGUGUCUUGACUGUAAGGCUGCAGGAGAGCUGGCUAUUUGCUUGGAGCUUCCCAAUGUUUUUACAGUAAACUGCUGAAACCAUAUCUUAAACAGUGUAAAACAGGCCAGAAAGAUGAACAUGCUGAUGUGGAGAUUACCCGUGACAUCAGCGAUCUUCUACAAUCAGAAAUUCAUCAAGAGUUCGGGAUCGGCUGAAUAUUUCCGAAAGCACCUGGCUGUCCCAGUGAUUAUGUCUGCGAGAUUUGCACUCAAGUCUAGGCUUAACACUGUCAGAACCUACAAUCCACCAGAAAGUUUUAAUGCAACCCCCUGAAGGAUGGUAGACUGGAACCAACUUAACCAGGAAAGAUGGCAUUGCCAUAUACCGAUGCUGCUGGGUCCUAAUGCUCUACAUUUAACCCAAGUGCUGCUUGGUCCAGCCACUGGUUCACUGCCUGCAGAGCUCCUGGGACCAAAGGCCAAACGGGUCACCUCCUGCAUUUGAUGCUAUCCUACCUGCUACAGUUUAACAUCCUUUUCCCCCCUCGUUGCAGGAUAUAAUAAGGAGAUAUGACCCAGAUUGGAGUCACAGCACGGAUGCAUUUCAAAAGCAGGACUGACUACCUGAAAUAAUAACCUCAGCAGCAAACAGAUGAUUAAUUGUGGGGUGUUUCUGUAUAGUAGGUUUAAUAUUAGCUUUUUUUGCUGUGUGUGUUUAAACAAACAUUGAAUUAAGUUGUUGUUCUUUAAUAGAUGGCAGAAAUGGAUGUCAAGGAAAGAAGAUCGCCAUCCGAAGAGCUUCACCAUGGACAGCUGUGUCGUUUGCACUUUAUAGUGCUCCAUAUCAUCUGGUUAUGGAUUUGGGUAAUAAUGUAUGAGGAGGGUGGCAUUUAUUUAAUAUUAGGAAUAUGUUUGCUUUUCUUUACAGGACAUUCCACCUUGUAAUAAGAGACUGAAAGAGAAGAAAAGCACGGCAGACCUGUGAGCCUGUGUGUAUCAUAAGGUCUGUGUAUUCCAAAGUCAGAACAUUCAGUGGGCAGAGUGUGAUUACAGUGAUGGCUGACUGCACUGUGUAUAGUUUGCAGCAUACAAAAUUUCUGAAUGACCCUUUCAAGGGGUCUGUCAAACCAUGGAUUGUUUAUAUGGGCAGCUGAGACCCAAAUGGAAAUCCAAAAUCAUGCCAAAGAAUCCCUUACCCAGAGGACAUCAGAAGGACGAAAGACGUCCCCCAGCAAAACUGUAAAGAAGAGACCUGAUGCCCAAACCAGCUCACAACAAGGAGCACAUGGACACCCAUCUCCCAGUAAACUGGUCACAAAAUGCUUCACCUGAACAAUAUAGUGGCUUAUUACAUACUCGGCCAGUAACUUAAAGGAUUUAUGCCAGACAAUCUCAUCUGCUCAGACUUGGUAAUAGUUGCUGCUUUGCUGGGAAUAAUGAAGUUGAGGAAUUCCUCUGGCCAAUAUGGAUAGUGGUGUCCCACUCACGCUUCAACAUGGCAACAUUAAUUUCAUUGAUUUAGGAAGUUUGUAGUUUUAUUCAUGAGUUCCCACUGUCUUUACUAUUAAUCUUUCGCUAGAACGUGAAGCCCUAAGGUUUAUCGUGAGCAAUGAUCACAAGGCUGCAGUAGAGUUUGCUAUUCGUUCAGAGCUUCCAGCUGUUUCUGUAGUAAACAGUUGGAAUCACACCCUACAGUGUAAAAUAUAAUGUCUGAGAGGUGAAAGUAAAAGAUGCUGAUGUGGAGAUCUACACCACUCACAUCAGGGAUCUUCUACAGUCAGAAACCAAUCAAGAGUUCUGUAUCAGCCAAAUACUUCAGAAAGCACCUGGCUGUCCCAAUGAUGACAUCUGACAGAUUUGCACUUCAAAGUCUAGGCCUAACUAUCUCUGAACCAAAAGUCCAUCAGAACAUUUUAAUGCAACCCUUUUAAUGCAAAGGAUAAUGGACUGGAACCAAGUUAGACCAGAAAAGAUGGUACUAACACUCUUUAAUUUGCAGAGAUAAUUUAAUUUAAAUAAAGACCUGAGAGGCUGCUGCAGGCUGAAAGAACAACCAACCAAUAAACAAAGGUAUGAACAAUGACCUUAUACACAUAUUCUCACCAGAUGUUUGACACUAGAAGGAAUUUUAGGGCUCUAUAAGUAAAGUGUGUCAAUUAGAACCACUAAUGCCUGGCCCACACCACAGGACUUGUGUUAAACGCUAAUAAAAUGUGAGACUCCAGAGAUUUCUGUUUUUUACUUGUUGGUGUAGAAGAGUUGAAAUUAAAAAGCUAAUAAAAAUUUUACCAACAUGAUUCCAUUAUCAUAACAAGGUUUCAGAACAUAAGUAAAGAUAUUAGUGAUGUCUGAACUAAAUUGAUUCAUUUUUAAUAACAUAUUUUAAUAUACUCCUUCAAAAUCAGUAUAAAACAUCAUGUUACUGUCCCAGUUUUGUUUCAUAUCUUUUGGAAGGUUGAUCUGAGAUCAGAUAUUUUUGCCCCCAAAAUUUCUAAAUGAGAGAAGAGUCUUCUCUCUAAUCUGAGAACUGUUUGUUGUCAAAAUCACAUUCCUUUAUUGUUUAUUGCUCAUUAUUUGUCAAACCAUUACUUUUUGUAAAGUGGAAAGUUAAAAAAAAGACUUUGGUCUGAUGUUUGGGAUCAUAUUAAACACUGAAAAGUCCACCUUUUGCCAUAACUUCUAAAAAAUGUUUGUUUUAAUAAACAAAAGAUUAAGUUUAAAAUGAUAUUUAAGCUUUUCUGGCUGUGAGUUCACUGCAGACAAUGUAACGUCUGCUGCCACUGCGCCUCCAUCGGGCGAAUAAGUGACCUGGGAGGAAUUGUUUAGUUGCUGUAAUUUCUCACUUAUAUAUAAUAUAAAGUUUAUAUUAAUUUAAACUUUUAAAACAUUGUUUUAGUACAUUUAUAUGACCAUGUGGUGUUCGGGUCAAAGCACAAAUUCUAUAAAAAUUGCUAACAUGCUUCCCCUAACUGAGCAACUUCUAAUGUAAGCUCAGCUUUUGAAAUAUGUAGCUGUAUAAUACAAGAGAAGAUUUUUAAAAUUUGUUUUGGGCUUCAAUUUAUAGUCUGUUCCCUCCUGAAAUGUGCAUGUUGUUGCUAGUAGCUGUGCAGCAUUUAGAAUUUCUGUACUUAUUCUGCAGCAUGUUCAUUUUUUUGUAUAUUAAGAAAAAUAGCUUUUGUCUGUAAGUGAAUAAUUAGCUGUGUUAAUGUGAAUUUAUUUAAACAGAACCUUUCAUUGCAUUUUGCACUUUAAAUGGGUACGUUUUAGUACUCCUUCAAAUGCUGUAGCUAAAGUUUAUUGUACUGUUUGCUGUGUGACGCUUUAAUGAAGGAUUGAGUUCAAGAGUUUGUUUUAUUUUAUUUUGAUUCCUAUGUUCGUUUACUAUUCAUUUUAGAAUUUAUCGUUCUUAUUAUUUUACUUUUACAAUUUUUCUUCGUUUUUAUAUAUUUUUUACAUUUGUUUGUCAAUUUAUGGUCUUUUUAGAAUUUCCUAUUUUUCUG